rnacentral:rRNA from 1 species
GAGUUUGAUCAUGGCUCAGAACGAACGCUGGCGGCAGGCCUAACACAUGCAAGUCGAGCGCUACCUUCGGGUGGAGCGGCGGACGGGUUAGUAACGCGUGGGAAUAUACCCAGUUCUAAGGAAUAGCCACUGGAAACGGUGAGUAAUACCUUAUACGCCCUUCGGGGGAAAGAUUUAUCGGAAUUGGAUUAGCCCGCGUUAGAUUAGAUAGUUGGUGGGGUAAUGGCCUACCAAGUCUACGAUCUAUAGCUGGUUUGAGAGGAUGAUCAGCAACACUGGGACUGAGACACUGACCAGACUCCUACGGGAGGCAGCAGUGGGGAAUCUUAUACAAUGGGCGCAAGCCUGAUCUAUCCAUGCCGCGUGAGUGAUGAAAGCCCUACGGUCGUAAAGCUCUUUCAACUGUGAAGAUAAUGACGGUAGCAGUAGAAGAAACCCCGGCUAACUCCGUGCCAGCAGCCGCGGUAAUACGGAGGGGGUUAGCGUUGUUCGGAAUUACUGGGCGUAAAGCGUACGUAGGCGGAUUAAUAAGUUAGAGGUGAAAUCCCAGGGCUCAACCCUGGAACUGCCUUUAAUACUGUUAAUCUUGAGAUCUACAGAUGUGAGUGGAAUUCCAAGUGUAGAGGUGAUAUUCGUAGAUAUUUGGAGGAACACCAAUGGCGAGGGCGGCUCACUGGCUCGAUACUGACGCUGAGGUACGAAAGUGUGGGGAGCAAACUGGAUAGCAUACCCUGGUAGUCCACACCGAAAACGAUGAAUGCCAGACGUCAGCAAGCAUGCUUGUUGGUGUCACACCUAACGGAUUAAGCAUUCCGCCUGGGGAGUACGGUCGCAAGAUUAAAACUCAAAGGAAUUGACGGGGGCCCGCACAAGCGGUGGAGCAUGUGGUUUAAUUCGACGCAACGCGCAGAACCUUACCAACCCUUGACAUACUUGUCGCGGAUUCCAGAGAUGGAUUCCUUCAGUUCGGCUGGACAAUGUACAGGUGUCGCAUGGCUGUCGUCAGCUCGUGUCGUGAGAUGUUCGGUUAAGUCCGGCAACGAGCGCAACCCACGUCAUUAGUUUCCAGCAUUUAGUUGGGUACCCUAAGGAGACUGCCGGUGAUAAGCCGGAGGAAGGUGUGGAAGACGUCAAGUCAUCAUGGCCCUUACGGGUUGGGCUACACACGUGCUACAAUGGCAUCUACAGUGAGUUAAUCUCCAAAAGAUGUCUCAGUUCGGAUUGGGGUGUGCAACUCGACCCCAUGAAGUUGGAAUCGCUAGUAAUCGCGGAACAGCAUGCCGCGGUGAAUACGUUCCCGAGGCGUUGUACACACCGCCCGUCACACCAUGGGAAUUGGGUCUACCCGAAGGUGGUGCGCCAACUAUUUAUAGGGGCAGCCACCCACGGUAGGUUCAGUGACUGGGGUGAAGUCGUAACAAGGUAACC